UCCUAUCCCUUGACUUUAAUUAAGACCUUCCCUAAGCAGUGGCUCUCUGCUCUCUGUCGCUUCUGUAUUGUAACGAGUCCCUAGCACGCGCCCGGGAGAGUGGAGGCUACCAUGUGAUGAGGAAGAGCUUCCCGAGGGAACAGCACACGCUCCAUCAAAUACUACCUGCCGCAUCUCUUCAUUGCAAGAAAGCUACAAAAGGAAGUCACUCCAGAUGGUGCUACUGCUUUUCGUCCAUUAGUGAGGAAGAGUCCAGAGUUUGACAGUACAGAAUGCUGAUGUCAGCGCUUCUUUGUGAUUUGGACCUGAAAAGAAGCAAUGAGUCAGAGCAGAAUCAGGUUCCCGUCUCUCCUCAGUCAUCCAGUGGCCAGCAAUUGACUCGUGAAAAUCCAAUCCAUCCAUUGGUUCAUGGACCGCAUCACAGUCGUGUUUGGAUGAACCUCCUCAGGUAGCUGCAUCUAAAGUACAGUGUAUACAUAUACAAGCUCCCCCCACACAAGUGAGCCCCUAGCCUCAAUCCCAGCUGCGUCUCUUUAUUAAGCUCUCUGUCGGUGUGUCAGGAGGAGCAACGUCUUACCUGCUCUGUUUCAGUGGUAAGCCUUGGCCAUCAGCUCAUGUCACUCGCCCACCCAGGUUAACUUCUCACUCACGAAAGCGUGCACUGAUUUUACAAUCCCAUUGGAAACAGUCAAACUCGGUUCUCCCAGACUCUUCCCAUUCCUAUUUCAUUUUCUAUUUUGAGAGAAAGUGGGGAGUGGCUAACUUGAGCUAAGUAGCACAUAUGCAUUACCUCACAUACUUUUUUUGUGUGUGUGGUGGAAGGAAAAUCUGUCAUUUGUGGCAACUUAGAUGAACCUGGAGAACAUUCUGUGGAGGGACAGAGGCAUAAACAGAGAGACGAACAGCACAUACUGCACCUGCAUGGGGACUAUGGCAAAGCUGGACGCUGGGAAGUGGGGGUAGAACGGAGUUGCCAGGGGCUGGGACAGGAUAGGGGUUAGGGCAACGCUACUCAUCCAGAGAUGCCAGGUUGGAAUUAGGCAGGUUUCACAACCUGAGACUUCGAUGUGAACAUGCAUUGUUACUCACGCCCCUCUCUCUGGAAAGUUCCUUAGCAAGAACAAAGGACAACGGGCUGUAUCUCAGUCAUCUCCCUUUUAUCUGAAGGUCAUCCUACAUUCAUUUCCUGGGUCCUGCCUGAUCUGAUCUCAAGCCUUCCCUGCCGUUGAAGAGCAGACUGCAGCUAAGACGCGGCCAAGUGCAUGUCGGUGUACCACUGCAACGUGGCUUACCGCCACUUCUUUAAUUUUGCCUACUUCUUAGCAGAUAAUGUCCCACAAGUCCCCCAGAUUUAGAUGAUUUUAAGGCACUACCAGUAUUCACGGGCAUUCAGUCGAGUCUUUCACUCGUGCGUCUUCCUAGGCUGUGUUUCCACCUGUGUAGACAAAGCUGUAGUGUGUUCAUGACCACCAGAGCUCAGGUGGAGAACAAAGCAUUGUUUCAUUUAACCAACAAGAACAAUAGACUUCCUCAAUCUCAACAGGUGUUUCUGCUUGUGUGUGUUUUCCCCCAGUGUCACUCAUCUCUUCCAAUUAGGAAAAUAUGAUCUGCACUCUCUUUGGGCUCUAAACUUUUUGUUCUCAGUAAGUCUCUGAGCUUUUACUCACUCACAAAAUAACCAGGAAGAAAGUCUUUUAUUUACACUUCAGUGAAAAUAAUUGGCAAAGAAUUUUCGGUAAAUUUGUGCAGAGACACAUCUAAUUACAGACUUUGCAUCAUAAGAAUUGGUAAUUUUGCUAAUGAUUAUAAUUAUUUUUAGCUCUUUCAUAUCAUUAGCAUUCACGCACUUGAAUGGUACAUGCGUCUGAGUAUGGAAAGCAGCCCACAUGGGUACUAUUUUAUGGAGAAAUCGCUUAGAGCGAGCGAGUUUCCAUUCCCAAAUAACUUUCCCCGGGUGCUGAGGGGGAAAGAACUCAUUAGUAGUCAUGGAGCUUUCCCUGCCGGCCAUUUCCAUUUCCUGGAGGUAGAAAAAGGCCCCUUAAACAACCAUUAUGGGUAAUGGUAACAAGCAGCGGCACAAUGAGGGCUCAUCUCCGUGGGCAGAAAGGAGCACCCAAAUAAUCCAGGAUUGUCUGACACAGCUUUAUUAGUCCAUGUAUCCAGUUACGGGGUGUGUGUGGAUUGAAAGGCAGUGUGGAUUCAAGUUCAUUGCUUCUACAGUGUUUCCGGUGUCAGUUGUUCCAGACGCAGUCAUUAUGUUGUGUUGCGUGACUUCAAGCCUGUUAGUCUAUUUCUGGCCAUUCUCAUGGCUCCAAUGCUCUGACCAGUUACAUGUCUGUGAGCACAGUUCUGAUUACCUGGAAAUUAUAUUUUCCUACCUGCUAAGCUAGUCUGACCCCAUUGUUCUUCUUUCUCAGAGCACCGUCCUUCGUGACUGCGAUUAUUUUUCCAAUGGGAAAUUCAGGUAUUUCUAUCCCAUGAUAUAUAUGAGGGGUCUUCACAAAGUUCAUGGAAAUUUGUAUUGUGAAACAAUGGUGCAUGACUUUCAAAAAUUUUAACACUAAAAUUAAUUUAUCUUUUAAUUAGAUUUUUCUACCAGCUUUUUUUUUUUUUAAAAAUUUAUGUAUUUAUUUGAAAGACAGAGUUAGAGAGAGAGAUAGAGACAGA